UGCUCAUUCAUUCAUUCUCCUGGCCCCAUCACCAUCACCACUAACGCCAUCACUAUCAUCACCAUCUACAACUCCCACAUCCUGUCACAGUAGGCCUGGAUACCACCUCCAGCCUUGUCUUUGGCUUCCCUAGGAGAGUUUUGCAAGAAAUUCAGCUCAUUGGGUGCAUAUGAUUUUUCUCUUUGGAAGUGGAGACUGUGGCCUGAAUUCAGCUCUCCCGCCUCAAGGGCCAGACAUCUGUCUGUUCAGCCACAUGGCCUUCAUCAAGCAAGCCUGGUCAGGCUUACCAAGGAGAGAAAGAGGCUAGGCUCAAAGCAUGUGGUACUGCUGAUCCAACACCUUCAUUUGGAGACAGUGAAGAAACAUCCUGCAAGGAGGAGAAAGCCAAAAAACCCUUGGGAGUCCAGAAAUUCACUUUCCUCCAGAGCCCCCAAAACAGCAGGGACCUUAAACUCUUCAGUUUACUUUUCUGUAAAAUGAGGAUAUUGUGGUGCCAUCAGUGAGAUGAUUGAAGUGAAAGAACCUUAAGAAGAUUCAAAUAAGAGGCUUCGCUAGAAGGCCAAAGGUGUUCCACGGCACAAAAACAGUUGGAAUGUCUGCCAUAGAGGGAAGAACAUUGUGCUGUAUGAAGAGGCCUGGGUUCAAGUCCGGCUCUGCAAAUCUGUAAAUCACUUAAUUUCUCUGAAUCUCAGGUUCUUCAGCUGUCAAAUGAUGAGGUUGAAAUAAACAGUCUCAAAGUUCUUUUGAAA